GGAUAUGAGGGCUAUCUGGCUGCGAAAUCAUUGAUCACCAGGAUUGAUUCCGCUGAUCUGGCUGACUAGGCGAGUAUCCCCUUCCUCCCUCACUGCUCUAUGUGUGUCCCUCCUGAAACUGCUCGGUCAAAGAGGAUGACCUUCCCCGAUAGAGGAGGACCAUUCUUUGGUCAAGGGUAUACCAGUAGCUGCUCUCCCCUGCUGGAACCUCCACACAAGCUCUCAAUCUGCUUCUGAUUUUUCAAGGUCACAAAGACCAGCCAGGAGUUGAGUCUCAUGUCUCAAAGGCUAACCAUGGGAA
ensembl:misc_RNA 7SK 7SK RNA